rnacentral:rRNA from 1 species
UACGUAGGAUGCGAGCGUUGUCCGGAAUUAUUGGGCGUAAAGGGCUCGUAGGCGGUUUGUCGCGUCGGGAGUGAAAUCCACUGGCUUAACUGGUGGCUUGCUUUCGAUACGGGCAGACUGGAGGUAUGCAGGGGAGAACGGAAUUCCUGGCGUAGCGGUGAAAUGCGCAGAUAUCAGGAGGAACACCGGUGGCGAAGGCGGUUCUCUGGGCAUGUCCUGACGCUGAGGAGCGAAAGUGUGGGGAGCGAACAGG